rnacentral:lncRNA from 1 species
UUUGAUGUCAUGUUAAUAUUAUCCCCCUGAUUCUGAAAUCCUGGCUUAAUGAUUCUUCAGUAAUGUUUGUUGAUAUUCGUCUCCUGAUUUUCAUUCCCUGAUACCCCAAUUGGUUUUGGUAGGCGUUUAUCUUGUGGAUCAUGUUUAUGUCACUGAGUAAUUGUUUUCAUCUCCAAUACUUGCAUGGAUUAGACUGAUUUAUUUUGCUAAACCUUUAAUUGAUAAUAUUAGCUUUUACUUUUCUGAUUUGAUUUAUGAACUAAAUGUCCAACGCCUGCUAUGUGCUUCUCAUUCUCAACUUUUUCUGUGUACUAUAAUCGAGCUAUUUCUACAAGUUAAGUGUUAAUGGAUGGUUUCCCUCUUCUGGUCAUUUUGAUUCAUUGUUUUUGAUACUAAAUGAUCAUCCUGAAUAAUGUUUGGUUACUAAAAAUCCACAUUAAGGCACUUGUUUUAAAACCUGAUUAGUUUUGGCUAAUUUUGAAAUUCAAUAAGCCUGUUAGUCCAAGACUAAAUUUGACCCAAACUUGAACAUAAUUGACCUGGGUCAAUUAUAACCAAACCAGAUGACAAACUAACGUUAAAACUUCAGGUUGGUUAAUUAGGAAAAGAAAUAGGGGUACAAGGGGUAUUUGAGGACCGGAUGACAAACUAAGGUUAAAACUUCAAGGUGGUUAAUUAGGAAAAGACAUAGGGGUACAAGGGGUAUUUGAGCUUUAAAAAUCUGGUAAUAACCCCUAGAACAUUCUAGUGAGGGACUUAGACACAAUUUCAGCCUCAAACUUGAGGCACAAGUCAGGAAAUGAAGGACCAUUUAGGAAAAGUUGAAAUCUGAAUCAGGGUCUAAAAGGAAAAACAAGGAAAAAAGUGGAGCCCUAAGGCUCUACAAUAAAAAAGAAACCAUCUGAACAUUUUGAAGGAUCCUGGACCUUUCUUCUUUUUUUUUUUUUGAAUUCUAGAAGAGAAAAAUACGUAUUAGUUCUUUCUAUAUCCUUGAUUAACGAUCAGUGAUGUUCUUAUUCCUUUAAGAUUUUAAUUCUCUCAAAAAUCUGCUAAGAUCCUGGGUGUACUGUUAGAUUGGCUGCUGUUUUGCUUGUUGAUUGCUUUCAUUUUACUCGUAGGCUUUUGUCCUUUGCUGAAUUCCAUGUACCUUCUUGUUCCCCCUUUGAUAGGUGAAGCUCAAGUAAAAUGUAUUCCCGAAUCUGAAGAUAUGCAUCUAUUAGUUUCGUUUUGAAUCCCCACCCUGUUUCCCCCUUCUUUAGCUUUAAUAUACAUAAUGAUAAGAUGAUUGCCCUCUAGUAAUUAGACAUUUGGAUUGAUUCAAAUUUUGUAAUAACUGGACAUUGGUACUGGCUUAUUUUGUAAUAUCUGGACAUUUGGACUGUUAUUUUAGGUAUGUACAAUUAGUAGUAGUAAUAUUAGCUAGUGGUAAGACUAUUUCAAAUGGUUG